CUAUUACCAUACAUCACACCAAUUCUGACCUAUGUGCAUUUUGAUAUUGAUAUUUAGCAGGGCCAGUCAAGUGUGACGUGGGCUAGCAACACUCUUACUUAACUAGCCCUCCUGGCCAGUGACUUCUCAAAAUGAAUUCAUACACUGAUGACAAUCCCCAUUUUAGAA